UACGGAGGGGGCUAGCGUUGGUCGGAAUUACUGGGCGUAAAGCGCACGUAGGCGGCUUUGUAAGUUAGAGGUGAAAGCCUGGGGCUCAACCCCAGAAUUGCCUUUAAGACUGCAUCGCUUGAAUCCAGGAGAGGUGAGUGGAAUUCCGAGUGUAGAGGUGAAAUUCGUAGAUAUUCGGAAGAACACCGGUGGCGAAGGCGACUUACUGGACACAUAUUGACGCUGAGGUGCGAAAGCGUGGGGAGCAAACAGG
rnacentral:rRNA from 1 species